rnacentral:rRNA from 1 species
GAGGGAAAGGCGAAAAGAACCCCGGCGAGGGGAGUGAAAAAGAACCUGAAACCGUGUACGUACAAGCAGUAGGAGCCCCAUCACUCAAGUGCCUCGCACUGAGUGAUGCAAGAAUAUCACCGAAAAUAGCGCCGAAUUUGCUAACAAGGUUGGUCGAUUUUUUCAAGCCGUCGCGCAGUGUACCUAGAAGUACACGAGCAACGGAAGUUAAAAAAUCGGGCAAGAUUGAACGCAAAGGCAAGCGGGACAUUUGAGGAUGGGGUGACUGCGUACCUUUUGUAUAAUGGGUCAGCGACUUAUAUUCUGUAGCAAGGUUAACCGUAUAGGGGAGCC